CUGGUUUUGUGUUAAGGGUGUCCCAUGUGUAAAUAAAGAAAUGAGAUGGUUCCAAGCAGCUGAACGGUAUGCCUAUCUGAAUCCCAGGUAAGUGGUGGAGACUUAGAAACUCACCCAUGAUAUAUAGCCUCUUACUCCAAGCUGCUCCCUCUCAGAUCUGAUAGCUCUCUGGGAACACCAGAUAUUGGGGAGGAGGUGGCCUUGUGGUAUUGUCAUCGUACUGUUAAUCCACAGACUCCAGAAUACCAUCACCUGCAAGAAAGGCAUCAAAGUGGUAAUGUUACAGGACUAGCAAACCAGAGACCUGGACCAAAGCUUUGGAGAUAUGAAUUCAAAUGCCAACAUAGUAACGAGCAGAAUAAAAAGUUUACUUCAUUAAAUCAAUAUGAAAUGCAAAUCCACUCCAUGUAAUUAACAGAUUUUGAAAAAAUGCUGGUGCAUUAAUAUCUUUUAGGAAUGAAAGCUGUUGCCAAUACCUGUUCUGGCCCACUUAUGGUGAUGUAUUGACCCUAAAUUCUCUCUCAAAAUGACCCAGCAUACCAUCCAAUUGUUCUGGCAGGGUAAACAAGAAAAUUGAGUUAAGGUCACAAUCAGAUCAGCCAAUAUUUCUGCUCCUAUUUCCUAUAUUCUUAAAGGCUAAAACCAUAUCAUAUCAGCAAGACAACAAACUGGGCUAGACCUUCUUUGAAAUACCAGUCUUCGAAAGGAAUGGAACAGCUUACAGUAAGGAUAACUAAGACUGAAUUAUAGUCAGAUGGCUGGCCAGUGUAUUUAUUGUCAAGAGUCUGCAUAACCAGGAUUUGCAACCAUUUUAAAUUUUUAAUGGACUAUCAACAAGCCGCAAUGUCAGAUUUGUCAGUCUUUGUAUGUUCCAUAUUUUGCAUGGUGAUCUUAAAAACUCUGU